rnacentral:lncRNA from 1 species
CCCCCUCCCAAAAAUAAUUAGAGAAAACCCCCUUACCUAAUAUCCUACCCAAAUAUUAUUUAAUAAUUCCCAAACCACCCUUAUUAGCCCUAACCUAUUGCCGUUCUCUUCUUUUUUUCUCGUCCUCGUCUCUCUCUCUUCUACCGUUCUGCCGUUCUCUCUUCUGCUUUUCUCGUCUUCCCUCUUCUCGUCUUCUCUCUUCUCUUGGCAAUUACCUGAGGUUGGUAGUGGAAAGGCGACGGUUGAUGGGGUCGACAAACGCGCCGCCGGAUGAGACGGUGGGCGGAGGGUAAGAAGCCGAAGGGGGUGGGAAAGGAGACGAAACGAAAUUAGGGUUAGGCAGAGCGUUGCUGAUAUUAUUGACGAUGAAGUGCUGCGGAUUAUUAGGGUUUCAUGAGUGAUGGUAAUGAUGGUUGUGGCGGCGGUUUUGAGUGGAGGAUUGCGAUGGGUCUGUUGGUGGUGGCGGUUUUGGGUGGAGGAUUGCGAUGGGUCUGCUGGCGGCGGCGGUUUUGGGUGGAAAAUUCCGAUGGGUUUGCUGAAUUCGCGCAGAAAAAGAAAUUCGCGCAGGCAGGGCCUUAAUCGACUACGUGUGUUUAAUCGACUAUGUCAAUAGUCGAUUAAGGCUUAAUCGACUAUGUUCAGUAGUCGAUUAAGGUUAACCAAUUCCAGUUGUUAAUUUUUUUUUU